rnacentral:rRNA from 1 species
GAACGGUGUCUUCGGACACAGUGGCGGACGGGUGAGUAACGCGUGAGAAUCUGGCUUUAGGUCUGGGACAACCACUGGAAACGGUGGCUAAUACCGGAUGUGCCCUUAGGGGUGAAAGGUUAACUGCCUGAAGAUGAGCUCGCGUCUGAUUAGCUAGUUGGUGUGGUAAGAGCGCACCAAGGCGACGAUCAGUAGCUGGUCUGAGAGGACGAUCAGCCACACUGGGACUGAGACACGGCCCAGACUCCUACGGGAGGCAGCAGUGGGGAAUUUUCCGCAAUGGGCGAAAGCCUGACGGAGCAAUACCGCGUGAGGGAGGAAGGCUCUUGGGUCGUAAACCUCUUUUCUCAGGGAAGAACACAAUGACGGUACCUGAGGAAUAAGCAUCGGCUAACUCCGUGCCAGCAGCCGCGGUAAUACGGAGGAUGCAAGCGUUAUCCGGAAUGAUUGGGCGUAAAGCGUCCGCAGGUGGCUAUGUAAGUCUGCUGUUAAAGAGUCUAGCUCAACUAGAUAAGAGCAGUGGAAACUACAAGGCUAGAGUGCGUUCGGGGCAGAGGGAAUUCCUGGUGUAGCGGUGAAAUGCGUAGAGAUCAGGAAGAACACCGGUGGCGAAGGCGCUCUGCUAGGCCGCAACUGACACUGAGGGACGAAAGCUAGGGGAGCGAAUGGGAUUAGAUACCCCAGUAGUCCUAGCCGUAAACGAUGGAUACUAGGCGUGGCUUGUAUCGACCCGAGCCGUGCCGUAGCUAACGCGUUAAGUAUCCCGCCUGGGGAGUACGCCGGCAACGGUGAAACUCAAAGGAAUUGACGGGGGCCCGCA